rnacentral:rRNA from 1 species
UCCGCAUGGAUAUGUUGUUAAGGUUUACCGCCUUGGGAUAGGCUUGCGUCUGAUUAGCUAGUUGGUGUGGUAAUGGCACACCAAGGCUACGAUCAGUAACUGGUCUGAGAGGAUGAUCAGUCACACUGGAACUGAGACACGGUCCAGACUCCUACGGGAGGCAGCAGUGAGGAAUAUUGGGCAAUGCACGAAAGUGUGACCCAGCAACGCCGCGUGGAGGAUGAAGGUAUUCUAUAUCGUAAACUCCUGUGAGAGCAGACGAAAGACAGAUUAUUAAUUUGGAUGACUGUAUGCUCAGAGGAAGCCCCGGCUAACUACGUG